ensembl:lncRNA
GGUUCUUUCAGUUGGAAAGAUUAGUAUGGAACUAUCAAAGUCCUAUGAAAUAAUGACAAAAAUAGGCAGACUCGAGUGAAUUUACUUGAAUAUUACUUUCAGGGGGGAUGCUGAGUUGCCUGCAGAUCCGCAGGGCAGAAUCCAGCUGAUGACACGGAGAGGAUGAGCUGCCUGGUUGCACGGUCACGAUUUGGAGAGGUCAUCACUUGACUUCAAUGUCAUGUUUUGUUCCUGGUGUUCCCAGUGAAGACAGUCAAAAGCAAAUAAAAUCUUGUAUCGCCUCAGUAGAGAGUGAGGAAAAGUUUUUGGAUUCUGCAGCAGAAAUGGAUUCUAGAAAUGGAUCCUAGAGAGGUGAUUUCAAGGGUCGCCAUUUUUAGCUGCUCAGCUUGAAUCACUGUGCAGAGGAAAACACCUCUGUCACGUCCGGGCUGUUUCUAUAACUCCAGAAAAUCUCUACAAUCAUCGUCCCCUCUGCAGAAAAGGUCUUUGAGAUAACAAAGAGAACACACUCUUUGAACAAGAUAGCAUGAAGAGCACUGGGAAAGCUUUUCAUACAGCCAGCAGGUUUGUGGCAGGGAGAGGCCCCCUUCCAGACACCAAGAGCUGCAGACACAGCGACAUCUUCAGUGCCACCAUACGCAGAGCCAGACUGUGGGGAGGGAGAGCUGCUGUUAGGACAGGUCAGCGGCCUUCAUUUGCAAUGCAAAACCAACCAGAAUUGUUUCUUCAAUCUGAUAGUGCAGAUUACACAGCAGUUUUGACCCUCGUAUAAAGCACUUUCUUCUUGAUCUGUUGACUGAGCCGGUCUUAAACUUUCCCAGGAGGGCACGCUGAUGGAAACAGGAUGCGAUAACCUCAAAAACUCGGAGAUGUAAUGAAUCGGGAUAUUGAGCAAGGAACCGCUCACCAACUGGAGCUGCUUGAGUCACUCUCCAGAUGUACCUAGAGCAUCCCUACCAUCUUCUGUGCAAGUUCCCGGGGCAGGUUGGACCCGAUGGCUUGUUUCUCACAGAAAGAGCAUUGCAGGAGCUCUUGUGGAGAUGUUUUCAGUCUAAUAGCAGAGGUUGGAGCAGUUUGACAUUUCUUGAGUUGGGUGGGAUGAAUGAUAUUUCAUUAAUCACUGCUUUUGGAGUUACAUCACUGUCUAUGAAAUUGAAAAACAAAGUAUGACACGUAGUUUGAAAGGUUUUACCAUGGAAUUACGUAACUCUUCUGUGGUAGGGGAGUGGAACAGGCCAUCCUCCUGGGUUAGUCCAGUGUGGCUUUCUGUGCUACCUAAUGUCUUUUUCAUGUGAGAGUGGAUGUGUCUAAGCAGCACUGAAAAUUACACAACUGCUAAAUUGUGUCAUUGCUUUCCAUGGUCCCAAGAAAAUACUUUUAUUUUUCAUGUUAGAAAUCAGACACAGAACUACGAGAACCAGGCCUGUUAAAAUGGCAGUGACAUUUUUAAUAACCAACACCGGGGACUUUUUAAAUGAGCGGUGUUUGCAAGUGGAAAAUACCUAGCAACACGUCGCGAAUUUCCAUCGUCUUCCUGUGCUACAAGGAAGAAAAAUGCCAUUUUCAAAUGUGACCUUUUCCCCUCUUGUCCAUGGCACAAAUACAAUAAAAUAAAUACCCAAAGAACGGAUGAAUUAUUUGAAGGAUCCAAGCUAUGCAGCACUGGGUACCUGGGUCCAGCUGGCUGCCCUUUGCAGCAGGGGGUCCUCAUGCAUGUGGGCUGUUGUGGAAGGAGCAGUUCUGUAAGCAGAACAAGAAGACAGAACCCUGCAGCAGAUGCU